rnacentral:rRNA from 1 species
GAUGAACGCUGGCGGCGUGCCUAAUACAUGCAAGUCGAGCGAACAGACGAGGAGCUUUCUCCUCUGACGUUAGCGGCGGACGGGUGAGUAACACGUGGAUAACCUACCUAUAAGACUGGGAUAACUUCGGGAAACCGGAGCUAAUACCGGAUAAUAUAUUGAACCGCAUGGUUCAAUAGUGAAAGACGGUUUUGCUGUCACUUAUAGAUGGAUCCGCGCCGCAUUAGCUAGUUGGUAAGGUAACGGCUUACCAAGGCAACGAUGCGUAGCCGACCUGAGAGGGUGAUCGGCCAAACUGGAACUGAGACACGGUCCAGACUCCUACGGGAGGCAGCAGUAGGGAAUCUUCCGCAAUGGGCGAAAGCCUGACGGAGCAACGCCGCGUGAGUGAUGAAGGUCUUCGGAUCGUAAAACUCUGUUAUUAGGGAAGAACAAAUGUGUAAGUAACUAUGCACGUCUUGACGGUACCUAAUCAGAAAGCCACGGCUAACUACGUG